UACAGAGGUCUCAAGCGUUGUUCGGAUUCAUUGGGCGUAAAGGGUGCGUAGGCGGCGCGGUAAGUCGGGUGUGAAAUCUUGGAGCUUAACUCCGAAACUGCAUUCGAUACUGCCGUGCUUGAGGACUGGAGAGGAGACUGGAAUUUACGGUGUAGCGGUGAAAUGCGUAGAUAUCGUAAGGAAGACCAGUGGCGAAGGCGGGUCUCUGGACCAGUUCCUGACGCUGAGGCACGAAGGCCAGGGAGCAAACGGG
rnacentral:rRNA from 1 species